ensembl:snoRNA SNORD33 Small nucleolar RNA Z195/SNORD33/SNORD32 family
GAGGCCAGUGAUGAGGACUUUUCCCACUCAUGUUCAAGUUUCCCGCUCAUGAGAUGAGUCCACAGGCACUGCCAUCUGUGGCCAC